UACGGAGGGUGCAAGCAUUGAUCGGAUUUACUGGGCGUAAAGCGCACGCAGGCGGUCUGUCAAGUCGGAUGUGAAAUCCCCGGGCUCAACCUGGGAACUGCAUCCGGAACUGUCAGGCUAGAGUGCAGGAGAGGAAGGUAGAAUUCCCGGUGUAGCGGUGAAAUGCGUAGAGAUCGGAAGGAAUACCAGUGGCGAAGGCGGCCCCCUGGCCAAAGACUGACGCUCAGGUGCGAAAGCGUGGGGAGCAAACAGG
rnacentral:misc_RNA from 1 species